rnacentral:rRNA from 1 species
GACGAACGCUGGCGGCGUGCCUAACACAUGCAAGUCGAACGAGGUUGGAAAGCUUGCUUUCCGAAACCUAGUGGCGGACGGGUGAGUAACGCGUGAGUAACCUGCCUUUCAGAGGGGAAUAACGUUCUGAAAAGAACGCUAAUACCGCAUAACGUACAGUUACCGCAUGGUAGCAGUACCAAAGGAGCAAUCCGCUGAAAGAUGGACUCGCGUCCGAUUAGCUAGUUGGUGGGUAAAGGCCCUACCAAGGCGACGAUCGGUAGCCGGACUGAGAGGUUGAACGGCCACAUUGGGACUGAGACACGGCCCAGACUCCUACGGGAGGCAGCAGUGGGGGAUAUUGCACAAUGGGGGAAACCCUGAUGCAGCAACGCCGCGUGUGGGAAGAAGGUUUUCGGAUUGUAAACCACUGUUCUUGGUGAAGAUAAUGACGGUAACCAAGGAGAAAGCUCCGGCUAACUACGUGCCAGCAGCCGCGGU